UCGGGCAUGUAAACUUUAUUCUGACAAGAGAUCUAUCUAAAACUCCCAAAGCAACUAGGAGUCGAACAUAGUAACAAAGAAGAAAUUUAAAAGCAACGGAAGAAGAAGUAAUCAGAACAUCCCAUGAGUCAAAACCUUCAUCAGAAGGCAUGAACAGAUAGAGCUCGAUGGCAGGCUAAGUCGCUUGCAGAACAUUAAAAUUGCUUAGUAUUCUUUUGGCAGGCUGAUUCACAGAAUCACAUAAGAGGCAGCAGUUGCGAGAGCUCGCUUUGCUAAACUUGAGAGAAAACAGUCCCGGGCCAAGCUGUAGUGUUUCCCCCAUUCAAUUCAAAUGCAAUGAAAAACCCAAAAACAGGACGCUUAGAGAGCAUGACAUACCGAAUUACCGAUAAAAGUAUGUGUGCAUAACUGACCUAGUAGUGUUGGUGACGUCUGCUCUUGCUUCUUCUUCUUGGCCUCAGAUCCACACUAGUUAAGCUAAGCACCAAGAAAAGCUUAUCAGCUUCUCACACAGGGAAAAAGAGGAUAAUGUUAAAUACAAAAGAAAGAAUGUAAAAUAGCGGUCAUAACAGUAAAAUCUUCAUAAAAAAAGAAGAAAAAAUAGCGGUCUUAGAUGGUUGAUGCAUUGCAAACCAUUAAGAUACAUUCUUUAGAUUUAUUCAUGUGUUGAACUUGUGGUAUAAUAAUAUAUACAUAUGU
rnacentral:lncRNA from 1 species